rnacentral:rRNA from 1 species
AUUGAACGCUGGCGGCAUGCUUUACACAUGCAAGUCGAACGGCAGCACGGGUGCUUGCACCUGGUGGCGAGUGGCGGACGGGUGAGUAAUACAUCGGAACGUAUCCAGAAGAGGGGGAUAACGCAUCGAAAGAUGUGCUAAUACCGCAUAUUCUCUGAGGAGGAAAGCAGGGGAUCGCAAGACCUUGCGCUUUUGGAGCGGCCGAUGUCUGAUUAGCUAGUUGGUGGGGUAAAGGCCUACCAAGGCGACGAUCAGUAGCUGGUCUGAGAGGAUGAUCAGCCACACUGGGACUGAGACACGGCCCAGACUCCUGCGGGAGCAGCAGUGGGAAUAUUGGACAAUGGGCGAAAGCCUGAUCCAGCAAUGCCGCGUGUGUGAAGAAGGCCUGCGGGUUGUAAAGCACUUUCAAUAGUGAAGAAGGAUUUGUGUCGAAUAGACAUGGAGACAGACUAA